GCCCCCGUGGCCUAAUGGUUAAGGCAUUUGACUUCUACUGCAUCGCAAUCGGAAGAUUGUGGCGUAGCAAUCAGAGGAUUGCGGGUUCGAGUCCCGCCGGUGCGUU